UAGCAUAAUCAUUUGUUUUUUAAUUGAAAACUGGAAUGAAAGGUUUAAUAAAAAAUAAUCUUUAUUAAUUUUAAAAAAUUUGAAUUUGUUUUUUUAGUAAAAAAACUAAAAUUUUAUAAAAAGACGAUAAGACCCUAUAAAGCUUUAUAAUAUAAAAUUUAUUAAUUUAUUAGAAAUUUUAAGUUAAUUUUUUUUUUAUUAUUAAAUUGGGGUGAUUUAAAGAUUUAAAAAACUCUUUAACUAUAAAUUUUUUUCAUAUUUUUAUGUAUUUUGAUCCUUUAAUUUUUAAGAUUAUAAGAAUAAGUUACUUUAGGGAUAACAGCGUAAUUUUUUUGAAGAGUUCUAAUCGAUAAAAAAGAUUGCGACCUCGAUGUUGAAUUAAGAUAAAUAUUAGGUGUA
rnacentral:rRNA from 1 species